rnacentral:tRNA from 1 species
GGAGAUGUGGCUCAAGUGGUAGCGUGCUCUCCUGGCAUGUGCGGGGCACUGGGUUCAAUCCUCAGCACCA